rnacentral:rRNA from 1 species
GGACUACCGGGGUUUCUAAUCCCGUUUGCUCCCCUGGCUUUCGCGCCUCAGCGUCAGAAAGGGUCCAGCACGUCGCUUUCGCCACCGGCGUUCCUUCCGAUAUCUACGCAUUUCACCGCUCCACCGGAAGUUCCACAUGCCCCUACCCCCCUCAAGACGACCAGUAUCAGAAGCUAUUCGACAGUUGAGCUGCCGGAUUUCACCCCUGACUUUGCCGCCCGCCUACGCGCCCUUUAAGCCCAGUGAUUCCGAACAACGUUCGCACGGUUCGUCUUACCGCGGCUGCUGGCAC